AUACGUAGGUGGCAAGCGUUGUCCGGAUUUAUUGGGCGUAAAGCGAGCGCAGGCGGUUUUUUAAGUCUGAUGUGAAAGCCUUCGGCUCAACCGAAGAAGUGCAUCGGAAACUGGGAGACUUGAGUGCAGAAGAGGACAGUGGAACUCCAUGUGUAGCGGUGGAAUGCGUAGAUAUAUGGAAGAACACCAGUGGCGAAGGCGGCUGUCUAGUCUGUAACUGACGCUGUGGCUCGAAAGCGUGGGGAGC
rnacentral:rRNA from 1 species